GAUGAACGCUGGCGGCGUGCCUAAUACAUGCAAGUCGAGCGAACAGACGAGGAGCUUGCUCCUCUGACGUUAGCGGCGGACGGGUGAGUAACACGUGGAUAACCUACCUAUAAGACUGGGAUAACUUCGGGAAACCGGAGCUAAUACCGGAUAAUAUAUUGAACCGCAUGGUUCAAUAGUGAAAGACGGUUUUGCUGUCACUUAUAGAUGGAUCCGCGCCGCAUUAGCUAGUUGGUAAGGUAACGGCUUACCAAGGCAACGAUGCGUAGCCGACCUGAGAGGGUGAGCGGCCCCACUGGAACUGAGACACGGUCCCGACUCCUACGGGAGGCAGCAGUAGGGAAUCUUCCGCAAUGGGCGAAAGCCUGACGGGGCAACGCCGCGUGGGUGAUGAAGGUCUUCGGAUUGUAAAACUCUUUUAUUAGGGAAAAAAAAAUUUGUAAGUAACUAUGCACGUCUUAACGGUACCUAAUCAAAAAGCCCCGGCAAACUACGG
rnacentral:rRNA from 1 species